rnacentral:rRNA from 1 species
CUGGCGGCGUGCCUAAUACAUGCAAGUAGAACGCUGAAGACUUUAGCUUGCUAAAGUGGAAGAGUUGCGAACGGGUGAGUAACGCGUAGGUAACCUGCCUACUAGCGGGGGAUAACUAUUGGAAACGAUAGCUAAUACCGCAUAACAGCAUUUAACACAUGUUAGAUGCUUGAAAGGAGCAAUUGCUUCACUAGUAGAUGGACCUGCGUUGUAUUAGCUAGUUGGUGAGGUAACGGCUCACCAAGGCGACGAUACAUAGCCGACCUGAGAGGGUGAUCGGCCACACUGGGACUGAGACACGGCCCAGACUCCUACGGGAGGCAGCAGUAGGGAAUCUUCGGCAAUGGGGGCAACCCUGACCGAGCAACGCCGCGUGAGUGAAGAAGGUUUUCGGAUCGUAAAGCUCUGUUGUAAGAGAAGAACGUGUGUGAGAGUGGAAAGUUCACACAGUGACGGUAACUUACCAGAAAGGGACGGCUAACUACGUGCCAGCCGCAGC